rnacentral:rRNA from 1 species
UGGCUGUCGUCAGCUCGUGUCGUGAGAUGUUGGGUUAAGUCCCGCAACGAGCGCAACCCUUGUCCUGUGUUGCAACUAAUAGGCACUCUCAGGAGACCGCCAGCGAUAAGCUGGAGGAAGGUGGGGAUGACGUCAAGUCAUCAUGGCCUUUAUGUCCAGGGCUACACACGUGCUACAAUGGGCGGUACAGACCGCUGCAAACCCGCGAGGGGGAGCAAAUCGGAAAAAACCGUUCUCAGUUCGGAUUGCAGUCUGCAACUCGACUGCAUGAAGCUGGAAUCGCUAGUAAUGGCAUAUCAGAACGAUGCCGUGAAUACGUUCCCGGGCCUUGUACACACCGCCCGUCACAUCACGAAAGUGGAUUGUACUAGAAGUCUGCGCGCCAACCGCAAGGAGGCAGCGGCCCAAGGU